rnacentral:rRNA from 1 species
UACCAAAUGACUCUCGGCAACGGAUAUCUCGGCUCUUGCAUCGAUGAAGAACGUAGCGAAAUGCGAUACUUGGUGUGAAUUGCAGAAUCCCGUGAACCAUCGAGUCUUUGAACGCAAGUUGCGCCCGAAGCCAUUAGGUUGAGGGCACGCCUGCCUGGGUGUCACA